GCCUUGGAUGGAAAGUGGGGAAUUGGGUGGGGGGCUGGGGACCCCUUAACGUGGAUUACUUGGUGUGUAUCAGCUGGGCUCCGAAGACCCACGACCUCUUCUCCAUCCGUGGAUUGAUUUGUUCUGCUUAACAGCUGGGUCGCCAAGCUGGAGGUGGAAUCAGAGGUUUCUGGCUGACUCGGUGGGUGCUUUGAACCAGGAAAGGACAAGAAAGAGGAACUCUGAAAGCCACAUGUUGAGAUGGCCCCAUUACAGGAUGGAGAGCACCUGAACCCCCAAGUUAUGGACAAGAAGAAGACAGUUGCCUUGGAAAAUCAUCUGACCCACAUUGGACUUUACGUGAGGGGGAAAUAAACCUUUAUUAUGUUAAGCUACACAA
rnacentral:lncRNA from 1 species